UACGGAGGAUGCGAGCGUUAUCCGGAUUUAUUGGGUUUAAAGGGUGCGUAGGUGGUUUCUUAAGUCAGUGGUGAAAGUUUGUCGCUCAACGAUAAAAUUGCCAUUGAAACUGGGGGACUUGAGUAUGUUUGAGGUAGGCGGAAUGCGUGGUGUAGCGGUGAAAUGCUUAGAUAUCACGCAGAACUCCGAUUGCGAAGGCAGCUUACUAAACCAUAACUGACACUGAAGCACGAAAGCGUGGGUAUCAAACAGG
rnacentral:rRNA from 1 species